UACGUAGGGGGCAAGCGUUGUCCGGAAUUAUUGGGCGUAAAGAGCGUGUAGGCGGUCCGGUAAGUCAGCUGUGAAAGUCAAGGGCUCAACCCUUGAAAGCCGGUUGAUACUGUCGGGCUAGAGUCCGGAAGAGGCGAGUGGAAUUCCCGGUGUAGCGGUGAAAUGCGCAGAUAUUGGGAGGAACACCAAUGGCGAAGGCAGCUCGCUGGGACGGUACUGACGCUGAGACGCGAAAGCGUGGGGAGCAAACAGG
rnacentral:rRNA from 1 species